GUGACUCUCUUUGGCGGCACAUAUACUAAAAUUGGAAUGAUACAGAGAAGAUUAUCAUGGCCCCUGCACAAGGAUGACACGCAAAUUUGUGAAGCAUAUCAUAUAAGA